rnacentral:rRNA from 1 species
AACGAACGCUGGCGGCAGGCCUAACACAUGCAAGUCGAGCGCCCGCAAGGGAGCGGCAGACGGGUGAGUAACACGUGGGAACCUACCCUUUCCUACGGAAUAACACAGAGAAAUUUGUGCUAAUACCGUAUACGCCCUUCGGGGGAAAGAUUUAUCGGGGAAGGAUGGGCCCGCGUCCGAUUAGCUAGUUGGUGGGGUAAUGGCCUACCAAGGCGACGAUCGGUAGCUGGUCUGAGAGGAUGAUCAGCCACAUUGGGACUGAGACACGGCCCAAACUCCUACGGGAGGCAGCAGUGGGGAAUAUUGGACAAUGGGCGCAAGCCUGAUCCAGCCAUGCCGCGUGAGUGAUGAAGGCCUUAGGGUUGUAAAGCUCUUUCACCCACGACGAUAAUGACGGUAGUGGGAGAAGAAGCCCGGCUAACUUCGUG